rnacentral:rRNA from 1 species
GACGAACGCUGGCGGCGUGCUUAACACAUGCAAGUCGAACGAUGAAGCCGGAGCUUGCUCCGGUGGAUUAGUGGCGAACGGGUGAGUAACACGUGAGCAAUCUGCCCUUGACUCUGGGAUAACUGCGGGAAACUGUAGCUAAUACCGGAUACGACACCUUGGGGCAUCCCAGGGGGUGGAAAGAAUUUCGGUAAAGGAUGAGCUCGCGGCCUAUCAGAAAGUUGGUGAGGUAAUGGCUCACCAAGGCGACGACGGGUAGCCGGCCUGGGAGGGUGACAGGCCACACUGGAACUGAGACACAGUCAAGACUCCGACGGGAGGCAGCAGUGGGGAAUAUUGCACAAUGGGCGAAAGCCUGAUGCAGCAACGCCGCGUGAGGGAUGAAGGCCUUCGGGUUGUAAACCUCUUUUAGCAGGGAAGAAGCGAAAGUGACGGUACCUGCAGAAAAAGCACCGGCUAACUACGUGCCAGCCGCCGCGGUAA